UACAGAGGGUGCAAGCGUUAAUCGGAAUUACUGGGCGUAAAGCGUGCGUAGACGGUUAUUUAAGUCAGGUGUGAAAGCCCAGGGCUCAACCUUGGAAUUGCAUUUGAGACUGAAUAGCUAGGGUGCGGAAGAGGGAAGCGGAAUUUCCGGUGUAGCGGUGAAAUGCGUAGAUAUCGGAAGGAACACCAGUGGCGAAAGCGGCUUCCUGGUCCAGCACCGACGUCAGGCACGAAAGCGUGGGGAGCAAACAGG
rnacentral:rRNA from 1 species